UACGGGGGGGGCAAGCGUUGUUCGGAAUUACGGGGCGUAAAGGGCUCGUAGGCGGCCAGCUAAGUCAGACGUGAAAUCCCUCGGCUCAACCGGGGAACUGCGUCUGAUACUGGAUGGCUUGAGUGUGGGAGAGGGAUGCGGAAUUCCAGGUGUAGCGGUGAAAUGCGUAGAUAUCUGGAGGAACACCGGUGGCGAAGGCGGCAUCCUGGACCACGACUGACGCUGAGGAGCGAAAGCCAGGGGAGCAAACGGG
rnacentral:rRNA from 1 species